rnacentral:rRNA from 1 species
UACGAAGGGGGCUAGCGUUGUUCGGAUUUACUGGGCGUAAAGCGCACGUAGGCGGAAUGUUAAGUUGGAGGUGAAAUCCCAGGGCUCAACCCUGGAACGGCCUUCAAUACUGGCAAUCUCGAGUCCGGAAGAGGUGAGUGGAACUCCUAGUGUAGAGGUGGAAUUCGUAGAUAGUAGGAAGAACACCAGUGGCGAAGGCGGCUCACUGGUCCGGUACUGACGCUGAGGUGCGAAAGCGUGGGAGCAAACGGG